GAUUCUAUGCACCCCACCACACAGGUAAUUUGUGUAAGAUGCUUUCCUGUUCUUAAAUGGAAAGUAAGAUUGCUGUCUUGUUUUUAUUUUCACCCAGACCAUUCACUGCGUAAGUAGAAAUCCCACCCGCAUACAACUGGGAUUGAAAGAGAAACUUUUCACAGCUUCAGGGAUCAGUAUCUCUGAACCCCAGGCUUUUAGUGCUACAAGAGAUUCUAGAUUGCUUCCUCCCACCAAUGCCAAGAUAAGAAGUAAAUGAACUGUUGCUAGGCCUUGAGGAAAUUCAGAGAUUUAUGUUUGUGACUGAAGCCACAGUCCAGAUACCCUAUUUCUAACAGAUGUUCAUUGGUUAUGAGAAAUGAAACAUUUGGAGGGCAACAGACUGUGAAAAACUGCAUUAACCAG